UACGGAGGGAGCUAGCGUUAUUCGGAAUUACUGGGCGUAAAGCGCACGUAGGCGGCUUUGUAAGUAAGAGGUGAAAGCCUGGUGCUCAACACCAGAACUGCCUUUUAGACUGCAUCGCUUGAAUCAUGGAGAGGUGAGUGGAAUUCCGAGCGUAGAGGUGAAAUUCGUAGAUAUUCGGAAGAACACCAGUGGCGAAGGCGGCUCACUGGACAUGUAUUGACGCUGAGGGUGCGAAAAGCGUGGGGGAGCAAACAGG
rnacentral:rRNA from 1 species